GCAGAGACUAGGGUAUAAAAUCUUCGGGGUCAUUCCUAGAAAUUCUGCCUGCUGCAGCCUGGUUUCUUGCUUGGACUCUAGUAUAUAUUUGCUAAAUCUCCCAAGCCUCAGUCUCACUAUUUGCAAAAGUGAGUUUUAAUGCUCUUUGCCCUGCUUGCCUCACAGGAUCUUAACAUAGACGUAAGAUCAAAUGCAAUAGCAUGUCAAACAAUGUGUAACUCCAGUUAUACAAACAUUACUGUAUCUCAUUGGGGAUACGAAGCUCUACACACUUGAAGAUGGUGAAGGAAUAUAAAAAUUAUCUUACAGACAGCAAGUUGAACAUUGUGGGAUGCAUGAGCUAUUGAGGCCUUUGCAGCUUUCUGCUACAUGGAGGCUAGGGCCAGAGUCAAGAUUUAUGCUUUGCAGCACACUGGUCAGCUGUUUUUGCAAAUCAGAUUAAAUGAUUUUUAAAUGAGGCUGAGAGCAUGGGAGAUACUAAUGUGUGUUUCCUUGUGAGCUACUGCAUAAGUAAGUGCUUUGUAAAAUGUCAGGGGCUCCAGGAUUAUAUGGUAUUACUGUCACUAUUGUAAGCACUUCUACCUUUUUUUUCUCCUUUUACAGGUUAGGAAAUUGAAAUACAGAAAGAUGAAAAGUGAUUUGCCCAAGCAUAUAGAUCAAAGCUGUGGCAGAACCAGGACUGGAACCUAUAUCUCUCUACUAAUGGUUUUUUUAAAAAAAUAACCUUGUUUCAAAAAUAUUAAAAAGUCACAAGAAAGGUAAACAUGUGGAUAAACAAAAUGAAGAAAAUAAAAAUUAUCCAGUAAUAACAUAUU
rnacentral:lncRNA from 1 species